CUACAUCAAUGACGGAAUUUUGUGGGAGGUUUCAUCCCACAAUUUUCUCCUCUUCUUCACAUUUUUUAAUUAAGGUAUUUUCCCCCAAAUUCAUCUUCACUUUUUUCUUAUUAUGUUCAACGAUUUUUAUCAAAAAUCAAAUUAAACAAAAUCUUAUUCCUUUAGCCCACCCAAUUGACUGUUUGGAGUUUUGUGUUAAAGAUGAUGAUGUUGUCGGUGCUUAAGUUAUGGGUAAAGUCAUUAUUUCGGCAAAGAAAAUUGCCCCUGUUGAGGUUAUUUUCCCCUUGUUUUCCGUCAUCUGUGAUUCAGAAUCAGCAUUGAACGAGGAAGAAACUGUUACAUAGCUACACUUGGAAACAAUGUAUCCAUUCUCUUUUGCUCCUUGUUGUUGGCAGAAUACCACAUUUGAGAUAUGUAUUCCUAUUAUGAAAGUAUGGAGCUGAUAAGGCGGAGAACAAUUACUUAAGUGACAAUGACGACCCACCGAGGCCUAAACUAACCAUCAUGCAACCAGUUGUAAGAAAAGACGUUUUUAGUCUUGAAUAGUUGUAGUUAUCUUUGUUAUGUUUAACCUUUAAUUAAUAUUUUGUCUUUUUUUAGAUACAAGUCUAUCUACAAUAAUAUUUCAGUUGUCUUUUGUGGGUUUUUUUGUGUUGAACUAAAGUAGACAUGUUUUGUUUAAAGAUUAUGUUUUAUUAAGAAGUAAUUCAAUUUUUUUCUUUAAAUAAGUGUUCCAAAUGCUGUAGAUAUUUGAUUACUGUGGUUGAUUUUUUUAUCUGAUAUUAAAACUUUUUUUAUUUUAGUAAGUGUUCCAACUGGU